rnacentral:piRNA from 1 species
UGGGGUAAUUCUAGAACCAUCUGUUCCCA